AGGGUUAUAGUUAAUUAUAACAUUUGAAUUGCAAUCAAAAAGUAUUGAUUUAUCAAUUUACCUU
rnacentral:tRNA from 1 species